ACUCCUACGGGAGGCAGCAGUGGGGAAUAUUGCGCAAUGGACGAAAGUCUGACGCAGCGACGCCGCGUGGAGGAUGAAGGUUUUCGGAUCGUAAACUCCUGUCAAGAGGGAAGAAACCUAUUAUGAAUAAUACUCAUAGUAAUUAACGGUACCUCUAGAGGAAGCACCGGCUAAUUCAGUGCCAGCAGCCGCGGGUAAUACUGAAGGUGCAAGCGUUAAUCGGAAUCACUGGGGCGUAAAGCGCUCGUAGGUGGCUUUGUAAGUCAGGUGUGAAAGCCCACGGCUCAACCGUGGAAUUGCACUUGAUACUGCAUCGCUAGAGUAUAGGAGAGGGGAAGUGGAAUUUCUGGUGUAGGAGUGAAAUCCGUAGAGAUCAGAAGGAACACCCGUGGCGAAGGCGACUUCCUGGACUAUUACUGACACUGAGGAGCGAAAGCAUGGGGAGCAAACAGGAUUAGAUACCCUGGUAGACUGUCA
rnacentral:rRNA from 1 species